UUCCGGUCAAUGACUUCGCGCUCUGAUGAGCCCCAAGAAGGGCGAAACCGGUC
rnacentral:hammerhead_ribozyme from 11 species